UAAUUAAAUCAGCGAAAUGAUUCUCUAUGGAAAUAUGUCUGUGUAUUUACUAGUGUUUUUUAUCUCUGAAUUUAACGACGGACCUGUUAGUAUUGAAGAUAAACGAAAAAAAUGUUGACGGGCGAGAAUUAUAUGCCUAAGAUUUUGCCGCCAAAUUGGACAUAAGAAAUAACAGGACCGCCAUUUUAUGCAGUAUAAAACCUUAAUGGAGUUCGACCAUGUAACUGAAUAACAGACAUAGUGGUUAAAAGACAAUGUUAAUGCAGAGUCAUUCGAUUUAAAAAAAAAGAUUAAAAUACAUUGUAUAUAAGAAAACUGAUUAUAAUCACAAUAAAAAAACAUAAAAAUAGAGGGAUGUCUCAAAAGGCAUCAACUGCUAAAAACUGGUCCUUAAAAGAAAAGACGUGAUUUGUUGGAUAACGUUAUGUCAUGUUCGACUAUAUAUGUGAACUAUUUGCACAGUAUAAUCAGAACCUGAACAAGUACCCACAGAUCAACAGUACCUAAGUUGCCUACCACAUGUGAAUUUAGAACAUUGAGACUUGGAAGAAAAUACAGAAAAGAAUUUUAAAAAGUGGAUGCAUUUACUCCUAUAAAACAAACAAUAUCAAACAUAUGGAGCCGAUCAGUUAUAAUUGUUUAUGAUUAAAAAGUACCAACAUGAAUAUUGGAAUAUACAAUGCUAAAUAACGUGACCAUGCUGUUCUUCUUUUUGUUUCUAAAAGUAUACCAAAUUAGUUAUGAAAAAAAUAAAAGUACAUUAUCUGGAGUGCAGUUAUGAUUUAUUUCAUGCUGUAUGUUAUGAACUUUGUUGCAAACGUUUUUUGGUCGUACAAAUCACGCCGACAAACACUAGAGCAUAAAGUAAUCAUUUUGUCCGUCAGUGUACCCGAAACAAAAGGUUUACAGAUAAUUUCUAGAGUUUCUCUUGCUAGAAAGGAAUAAUGUAUACAGAUGCUAGACAUAUGAUAGGAAAGUAGCCUAUUUAAUCAUUUGUGGUCAACAUUCCAAAUAUAUAGGUCAUUGUAACUAAGAAUAAAUUUUAUAAAAAAUGGUUGCUCAGUUGCAACUCUUGGA